rnacentral:tRNA from 1 species
GUUCCUAUAGUUUAAUGGAUAAAACAAGAACCUCCUAAGUUCUAGAUCCAGGUUCGAUUCCUGGUGGGAACACCA